GUGUCAGCCGCCGCGGUAAGACAGAGGUGGCAAGCGUUGUUCGGAAUCACUGGGCUUAAAGGGCGCGUAGGUGGUAGUGCAAGUCUGAGGUGGAAUCCCAUGGCUUAACCAUGGAACUGCCCUGGAAACUGCAUUACUUGAGUCAGUGAGGGGAGGGUAGAAUUCCUGGUGUAGCGGUGAAAUGCGUAGAUAUCAGGAGGAAGGCCGGUGGCGAAGGCGGCCCUCUGGCGCUGAACUGACACUGAGGCGCGAAAGCGUGGGGAGCAAACAGGAUUAGAAACCCCGGUAGUCC
rnacentral:rRNA from 1 species